ACUUUUUAAAACUGGAUCCCAGUUACACACUUUAAAACCAGAAGAAGAAAAAAAGCGUCAACAAUGUUUUGGUUUGUCAAGAUUUAAAUUGAAAUGCUCGAGAUAUACAUCAAGCACAGUGAAAAUAAAACAACACAUCAAGUUUAAGACGACAUUCCUGUAUAUCAAAACAAAAACUAACAGCAUAAAAAAAUUGGUAAAAAACUUGACAGUACAAAAAUGAUACAUGUACAAGUCACUUAUUUUUUUCAAAUAUUCAAAAUUAUAUAUAUAUAUAAAUAUACUAAAAGCAUGUGUAAUUACUCCCUAGGUGUUUAAAUCAUAUUACCCUUCUAGUCACGGAAUCCUAAAGAGGAUAAGCUUAUGUACAUGCCAAUGCCAAUGGCUAUAUUAAAGUUGAAACAUAAAUGUAGGCAUAGACUACUAGUUUUAAAAGCUCUUCAGGUUUUAAAAGCUCUUCAGAGCUUAUGUUUGUAAUUGCUUGCUUAUACCGACUCUAAAUAAAGCUUUAUGUCUAUGUCUUAUGUCUAGACACAAAUAUUAUUGUUACAUUUUGUACUUUAGUAAUUAAGAAUUCUCGUCAAAUCGGCACCUGGUAUAGAUAAAUUAGCACCUAGUCAAAUCAGCACCUGGUUUAAUCGGCACCUAAUGUAGUCAUUUCGGUACCCAUGUAAACAAUGUGGAAUAUGCCUAUUUUUUUUCAUUAAAAUGAAGGUGUUAUCUAAAUUAUGUUACAGCAGUAUCAAUUUAUAAGUAUCAAAGACAGUCAUGUAAACAUAUAGCAAGUACUAUGUCAAUAACUGAGACUGUUACUUUGCCGGUGGACCAUAAAUGGCAGCACAUUAGUGUAGACGGUUGCUUUCUGAUGUUGUACGGUCACAAUAGUCAUUCCAUAUAAAGGCUGAAAACCUUGCCUUGCACUGGUAGCGCUGUAGUUUACCCUCAGUGACAAGUUUCAGUUGAAGGGGGAUGUCACCUGCCUCUGCAAAAAGUUCAGUGACCAUCUGGUAGAACGGUACAGGUCCUGUGGUAGCAACAUUGGUGUAAAAGCGGUUGUGCCAUCCCUCAACAUCAUUGUUCAAUGGUUCUGAUGGCUGACAUGAAUACACUCCAAUGGUGGAUCUGGAAGAUGGUGCUGUCUAUCCAGGUGGAGUAAACAUAGUUCAUUAAGGGAACUAUGGCCUGUGGUGCUCUGGCAUCUAACUGGAGGAAAGUUACAGUGAUGUGCUCUGGCGGCAAGAAGGAAAGUGCCAUCAGUUGUUUAUUAUUAACGGAUGCUGAUUUGACUAUAAAACAUUGUGAUAAAAAGGGUGCUGAUUUGACAAGAUGCUGAUUUAACCAGGUGCAGAUUUGACUUUUUCUUUAGGUGCCGAUUUAACUUGUAUCCUUAAUUUAUUGGUUUUUCACCUAACAUAGCAUUCUGGCUUUAAGUGUCUUAUGGAACGAUUACUUAAUGGAAAGGCUGGUCGACUCAGAUGCAGAAUAAUACAUGUAUGUCUGGGUAAAUGUUUCUUGUGAACUACCAGUACAUUUUACAUCAUGUACAUACACCUUAUCGCUAAUCCCGGCUGACCCAAAAGUAUGUGCCGUUUGAACUAUUGACGUCAUACAACAAUCACUUUUCCAUUGUGGAGUCAGGUAUUUUGUAUUAUGAUAUCACAAUUCUACUGGAACUUGUGUGAUGUCAAUAAUGGUGGACUAAUAGCGAUCAGGUGUAUUGUAAUGUAGCAUGUUUAACAUCCAGCUCUGCAGUCUACAUGUCGGUCUAGUACAAAGCAGGGAUGAUAUUCAUAUAACAUUAUGCAUAUUAUAAAAAAAGAAGAUGUGGUAUAAUGAUUGCUAAUGAGACAUCUCUCUACAAGAGACCAAAAUGACACAGAAAUUAACAACUAUAAGUCACCACAGGCCUUCAACAAUAAGCAAAGCCCAUACCACCUAGUCAGCUUUAAAAGGCCACGAAAUAACAAUUUAUGUAAAACUAUUCAAUUGAGAAAAUUAAUUGCCUGAUUUAUGUUCAAAACAAUAAACAAAAAAACAUGUUGGCCUUACUCUUUUGUAUAUAAUACAUUUGUAUAAUUUCUUUUUAGAUUAAAGAGCUACAUUGUACAUACAGAUUUUGAUCAUGUUUGAUGUCUAUAAUAGCAG
rnacentral:lncRNA from 1 species